AUGUCUCGCUACACGAGGCCCCCCCAACACCUCCCUGUUCAUCAGGACGCCACCAGGCCUGAGGACUUGCACCGUGAAUUUGGUCGAUAUGGCCCUAUAGUAGACGCUUACAUUCCACUUGACUUCUACACUCGCAGCCCAAGAGGAUUUGCUUAUGUUCAAUUUGAAGAUGUUCGAGAUGCUGAAGAUGCUCUUUAUAACCUCAAUAGAAAGUGGGUAUGUGGCCGUCAAAUUGAAAUACAGUUUGCACAAGGUGAUCGCAAAACACCAGGCCAAAUGAAAUCAAAAGAACGUCAUCCUUGUUCUCCAAGUGAUCAUAGGAGAUCAAGAAGCCCCAGCCAAAGAAGAACUCGAAGUAGGAGUUCUUCAUGGGGAAGAAACAGGAGGCGUUCUGAUAGCCUUAAAGAGUCUUGACACAGGCGAUUUUCUUAUAGCCAGUCUAAAUCUCGUUCCAAAUCACUACCAAGGCGGUCUACCUCAGCAAGGCAGUCAAGAACUCCAAGAAGGAAUUCUGGUUCUAGAGGACGGUCAAGGUCCAAGUCCUUACAAAAGAGGUCCAAGUCAAUAGGAAAAUCACAAUCAAGUUCACCUCAAAAGCAGACUAGCUCAGGAACAAAAUCAAGAUCACAUGGAAGACAUUCUGACUCCAUAGCAAGAUCCCCAUGUAAAUCUCCCAAAGGGUAUACCAAUUCUGAAAGUAAAGCACAAUCAGCAAAACAGUCUCAUUUUCGGUCACAUUCCAGAUCUCGGAGUUACCGUCAUAAAAACAGUUGGUGAACAGCAACAGAAGAGCCCUAUGUAGUCUUUAAUAUAAGUUAUUAAACCUCUCAUUAUGUUAAAUAAAAAUUCUUCAAGGUUU